GAUGAACGCUGGCGGCGUGCCUAAUACAUGCAAGUCGAGCGAAUAGACGAGGAGCUUGCUCCUCUGACGUUAGCGGCGGACGGGUGAGUAACACGUGGAUAACCUACCUAUAAGACUGGGAUAACUUCGGGAAACCGGAGCUAAUACCGGAUAAUAUAUUGAACCGCAUGGUUCAAUAGUGAAAGACGGUUUUGCUGUCCCUUAUAGAUGGAUCCGCGCCGCAUUAGCUAGUUGGUAAGGUAACGGCUUACCAAGGCAACGAUGCGUAGCCGACCUGAGAGGGUGAUCGGCCACACUGGAACUGAGACACGGUCCAGACUCCUACGGGAGGCAGCAGUAGGGAAUCUUCCGCAAUGGGCGAAAGCCUGACGGAGCAACGCCGCGUGAGUGAUGAAGGUCUUCGGAUCGUAAAACUCUGUUAUUAGGGAAGAACAAAUGUGUAAGUAACUAUGCACGUCUUGACGGUACCUAAUCAGAAAGCCACGGCUAACUACGUG
rnacentral:rRNA from 1 species